rfam:Eggerthella sp. CAG:368 genomic scaffold, scf40
AUCUUGGUCGGAAACCAAGGUAUUAGUGAGGAG